rnacentral:lncRNA from 1 species
GGUUUUUUAAAUAGACUUACUUGCAUUAACUAAUAUAUUUCUAAUAACCUUUCCAUUUGUCGUACACUUCAUUGCACUUGGCCACAAUGAACUUAUAUAAUUUCGUGCUUCAAUAUUUAUAUCUAUACAAUCUUAAGUAAGUCCAAUCUUAUAUAUCUUUACUUCAAUUUGUAUAAACCAUCAAUGCUUUUAUACCCCCAUUGCCAAAGUUUGUUUCUAAUUUUUCUCCACUUUCUUUUAGGUGUAUCAUGCCAUCUUUAAAAAAAAUAAUUUUUUUACGCAGUGCCUUUGUAAAAUCCUCACAUUCAUUUCUUCAAUG